UACGUAGGGUGCGAGCGUUGUCCGGAAUUAUUGGGCGUAAAGAGCUCGUAGGCGGUUUGUUGCGUCUAUCGUGAAAACCUGCGGCUUAACUGUGGGCUUGCGGUGGAUACGGGCAGACUUGAGUUCGGUAGGGGAGACUGGAAUUCCUGGUGUAGCGGUGAAAUGCGCAGAUAUCAGGAGGAACACCAGUGGCGAAGGCGGUUCUCUGGGCAUUACCUGACGCUGAGGAGCGAAAGUGUGGGGAGCGAACAGG
rnacentral:rRNA from 1 species